UGGGGGAUAUUGCACAAUGGGCGAAAGCCUGAUGCAGCGACGCCGCGUGGGGGAUGAAGGCCUUCGGGUUGUAAACUUCUUUUGCCCUGAACAAGGCAUGCCUUUGGGGUGUGUUGAGUGUAGGGGUUGAUUAGCGCCGGCUAACUACGUGCCAGCAGCCGCGGUAAUACGGAGGGCGCGAGCGUUUUCCGGAAUUAUUGGGCGUAAAGGGCUUGUAGGUGGCUGGUUGCGUCUGUCGUGAAAGCUCAUGGCUUAACUGUGGGUUUGCGGUGGGUACGGGCUGGCUUGAGUUCAGUAGGGGAGGCUGGAAGUCCUGGUGUAGAGGGGGAAUGCGCAGAUAUGAGGAGGAAUACCGGAGGAGAAGGCGGGUCUCUGGGCUGUUACUGACGCUGAGGAGCGAAAGCGUGGGGAGCGAACAGG
rnacentral:rRNA from 1 species